rnacentral:rRNA from 1 species
UACAGAGGGUGCAAGCGUUAAUCGGAAUUACUGGGCGUAAAGCGUGCGUAGUCGGCUUUUUAAGUCGGGUGUGAAAUCCCCGGGCUCAACCUGGGAAUUGCAUUCGAUACUGGAUGGCUAGAGUUCGGCAGAGGGAAGCGGAAUUUCGGGUGUAGCGGUGAAAUGCGUAGAUAUCCGAAGGAACAUCAGUGGCGAAAGCGGCUUCCGGGACCAGAACUGACGAUCAGGCACGAAAGCGUGGGGAGCAAACAGG